UCAGGGUCUCUACUCAUGAUAAUUUUUGAAUAGAUCAAGAAAACAUUAUUCACAAUAAUGUAUGGUGUAUAGCCAUUCUCAAUGAUAAAUCCAUAUUUAAGUGGUACAUUAUGCACUCAAAUUGACUUUCGGUGAGGAGGUGUGUUUCAUGGUUGUGCCUUAUCAAUGAGCAUAUUUGGUCGAAGAUCAACUUGUGGAUACUCCACAGGUUAUGAAAAUUCAUAGG
rnacentral:lncRNA from 1 species